rnacentral:rRNA from 1 species
UACGAAGGGGGCUAGCGUUACUCGGAUUGACUGGGCGUAAAGGGCGCGUAGGCGGAUGGUACAGUCAGACGUGAAAUUCCUGCGCUCAACCUGGGGGCUGCGUUUGAUACGUGCUGUCUGGAGUUCGGAAGAGGGUCGUGGAAUUCCCAGUGUAGAGGUGAAAUUCGUAGAUAUUGGGAAGAACACCGGUGGCGAAGGCGGCGACCUGGUCCGAUACUGACGCUGAGGCGCGAAAGCGUGGGGAGCAAACAGG